GCAUCGCGCGAGUUUAUUUAAUCCGUUGCUUUGUCUGUUUAGGUUUGUGAGUUUUGCCGCUAAAGUAUACCAAAAUACUAGUGAAUCCUCCAACAGUCAGUCGAGUGUUUCAGCAGUUGUUUUUGUUCCCCUUUAUUGUUGUCAACCUUGCUAAAGCUCAUUUACCAUUUGCCUAGCUAUGCAAUUAAGAAAUCUUUCUUUAGAAAUUGUAUGUGUAUUCCAUGUGGCUACGAGUCCAAAUAUUAAUACUAUUUGAGAUACGGAAAGUAUUUACCGGGGAAUAUUCGCAAAUUGUAGUUUCUAGACAAGCUUUACUCCAUUGCUGGCAUUUAACUAAAACGGAAUUAUGUUGCGCAGAAGCAAAGUGAACGAAAAUCAGCGCACAGCAAAUUGAGAAAGCAAACGUUUUAUCAGCUAUGUGGAUAUGGAAUGGAUGUCUGGAGGGCAGGAGCGCAUAUCCCUUUGCCGUAGACUGAAUAAUUGGUGCAAUGAGCCGUUAUGCAACCUCAGGUAGCUCGCUGUGAUAAGAGGCGAUUUUGGGAACAGUUCGAAUGUGCCUGAUGCUUUUGGAGCAGCUUAAUCUGCACGUCUUCCAAAGAUCCAAUGAUAUUGUGCUGCCUGAAGCAAACUCUGGACUACGGACUGGGUCUACGUGGGUUUCAUGUGCGGACGACUCUGCUGCUGCCACGCUCUCUGCUGGAAUUCACACUAAAUUGACAAAUUAAGGACUACAAUGAAUUCCAAGGACCUCCACAAGUGACAAAGCAAAUUUUUCCAGGAUCGGACUUAAAUUAAGCCAGAUAUAGCUUAUUUAAGUUGAAAUUAGCUACAAUUCUAAUUUAUGCUCGCUUUGUACUCUUUCAACAGAAAUAAUUAAGCAUAAACAAUGACAAA